rnacentral:lncRNA from 1 species
CCUUCCCCCUAAACGUGUCCAAUUCACACAAACGUGUCUUUUCUUCCCAAAUGUGUCCUAAAUAUUCAAUUUUGUCCAAACCUGUCCAAUUUUAUAACCCCCAAACGUGUCCGAUAAUUGUUAUUUGCCCAAACGUGUCCACUUUAAACGCCAUAACGUCUCGCGUCUUUUCACGUUAAUACAUGUAUAUCCCAAAUGACAUCAAUAACGUUCACGGCAUUUCUGUGAUGGGAGACAUAGUUGAUGAAGUGGUCAUUUAUUAGCAUCAGUUUGUUCAAUGCCGGUUGUAACUGAUUACCAUAACUGAAAAUUCAAUCUGUAACAUAUAAUUAACUUUUGACUGAAAUUAGCUAGUUGUCCAGUUGCAAGUAGUUCAUGCUCAUUUAGAAUGAACAUACACAUAAUUCUAGAACAGAUUAAUUAAUGGUUUACUAUGUAAAUUAUGUGUUACCAAUAAUCUCCGAUCAUGCCUUUUAUUGUGCA